rnacentral:lncRNA from 1 species
GCAAAAAGCGAAUGGGUUGCUCUGUCUGUCGCGGCUGUUCCUCCCAAAUAUCUCCGCUGCUGCCCGAGUGCGGGGAGCCGGAGCGCUUGAACUCCCCGAAGCCGCCGGUUGGAGGGAGAGGGGAACCGCGCCUCCAUCUCGAGUUGUGCAAGCCGCCAUCUGUCCUCUUCUGGCCCAGAGCAAAGACCAAGCGGGGCGAAAGUUUACUUUCCAAGUUGUUGGGUGUACAUUAAAACUUUUAUCCUUUUUGGACAAAUUAAUGAGCAAUUUAAUUAAUAAAAUCAGAGAGUAGUGUAAGUGCUAUGAUAAUGAAGUUAAAUGAGUGCACAGUAAAAUAUUCACUAAUCCAGCGCACUGCCAAAUACCCCCUUAAUUCUGCUUAACACUAAAAGGGUUUUGAGCACCAUAAUGAGAUUCCUCUGUCUGCUAAUUAAUUGACACGCUCCUGAAUAUUCAUAUGAGCUAGCACCAAUACGUUCCUAAUUGCACCGUGGAAUAGAUCUCAGAGGAAAGUAAAUCGCCAUAGACUUAAUUAAAAUAAUGUAUUCCAGAUCUAGGACGGGAAAAGAUGAGACAUUUGCCUUCGAGCGCGCUAAGGAAGUGGCACCUGGUUGGUGGAAGGGAGAGAUAUCAAACGUCGGCGUCUAGCCUCAAAUAAGCGGCGUGGGACGAUCUGGGAGGGCGUUCGGCUUCUGAACACAGCAGCUAUGCUGGGUCCAAACCCUGCGGCUCAGAGGCCUUGGCUCCCAGGAGCGUCCCUGUUCCUGCCCUACUGGAGGAAGUGUCUGAUGGGGCAGAGUGUAGCACCCCGACCUGGACCAGCGCGCUCUUACUUCCCUGCUUUCUGUCCCUCAGGCUGGUCCGAAAUGCGAAAUAGGGGAAGGUUGUAGGUCGGACAAUUCCCGGGAAACUUUUCCCAGAGGUUGUUUUAGCCGAAGCAGCCCAACUCUCCCAACUCAAGUUGCGAUCUAAGAGAAGUAGCUGGCACUGUCUCUGGGGGAGGGCGUUAGGUGAGGGAGAAUACACGAAACCUGGGAUGCUGUCCUCGCCCCGGCUCCCAUUUUCACGGGAAGAGCCGCCGUCCCCAGACCGCGCGGCUUCGUUCCUUUAAGCUUUUUCCCUUUCCUGGGGUGGGGGGUGGGGGGCACAUCCCAGGCAGCUUUCUUGAGAGGGUAGGUGGGACAACGGGCCUGCGGAAUCUAAUCAACCGCCUAACCUGAGUUUGACAGCGGAGCCAUUUUCACCAGCGCCACGCAAGUUAAGUAAACUCUAGUUCCCGCCACCCGCCUUCUUUUUGAAAAAAAAAAAAAAAAUCACCACAGGUUAGAAACUAAAACGAGUUUAUUUGAAGACAUACAAAUGCAUAUUUAUUAUACACAUGUAGGCAUUAACAAUGUAAAUUACACCGCCAGCAGUUGCUGGUUGUUUAUUCAUUAGAUUUUUAGAAAAUCUACAUUGCCUCCAGACAGCGCGAUGAUAAUGCGAAAUACACAAGCAGUUUACAUAACCAACUUUGACGCGGAGCUCUGCGCUCCGCGACACCGAGACAUCAACAGGUCGCAGGGAUCCGGACGCGAAGGAAACCUAAGUUGCUAAUAAUUACCCAUGAUCUGGGGAACCUAUGAUGCCGGUGGCUCCCUCUGUCCUUUCGGAAACAGAUGUGUAAAACAGGAAGGAUCUGACUCAUUUUCUAUGUCCAUCUAUUUUACCCUAUUUGUGUGUAGGUUUAUUUUGUGGGUGAGUUUUUUGGUUUUUGGUUUUGGUUUUUUUUGUUUGUUUGUUUUUGUUUUUGUUUUUGAGUUUAAAGAAAAAUAGGUGAAAGGGGGAAGAACAGAAAGACCAGUAGCUUCCCCAAACUCCCGGUAUUCAGGAGAGCCAAAGACUGAACCCAAAUCACUUUCUGGAGGGGGGCCAGUAAAGUGAGAGGUGAGAGACUUUACCGCCUGCGUGGGAAGAAAAGGCAGCCUACCUUAGUUAAGGGAAGCCAUCAACUCCACCAAUCAAACCGCUGUAGCCACCAUAAACAAAUGGUUAUCACUCGAAAUCACCUGCUGAAUCAACCUUUUUGGAAUUAAAUCCUCCGUGAUUCUGGAUUUACCCAAGAGAUGGAGAGGGGGCAGCACUUUAAGGGAGAAACAGCAGUACAGAUUUAAUGUUUAUCUUAAAUAUAUAAAUAUUCAUACAUAAAUAUAUUUCUAAGCUCUUUGCUGAUAAAAAAUGUUAAAUAAAUACGGGGAGAGUGUGGGGUUGUUUACGAGGGUCACUAUUGUUUGGGGCGGGGGGCGGUGGUCGGCCGAACAAUGUCAGCCACAGUUUUAAGUCUGGAGUCACUCUCUUACAGUAGCCAACCACCCACUUCAGAGGUGUGCGGGGGAUGGGGUGGGCGCGAGGGUGUUCGAGUGUUCCGUUUCCUUCCUUUCUUUUGGUUGGGCCGGCUGGGGACACAAGGAAAUACACUGCCGAUCCCGGACACUGCACUGAUGGGAAGGCAGCUAGCUUGUUAGCCGACCUAAAACCUGGCGUCCCUACGUUUGUGGAAAUUAAAACCAGAGUUUGAAAAAGAGAUGAGGGUAGAGAGGGAGAAGAAAGAGGGAAGGAGAUAGAGAAACAGGGACGCAGAAGGCAGUGGAUUCAUUUCCACUACGUGGGUAAACCCUCGGGGCAACCUGGUCUCCCCUAUGCUUGCCUGUACGCAGAGACCCACCCAAGACUGAGCAAAGCACCGGGAGCAGACUCAGUUCCGUGGAGAAGGGCGCUCGGCAGGAGGUUGGCAUCCUACGCUGGGACUCACCAGGACCUAAAGAGCGAAACCCUGGUCCCAGGUGAAACCCACCAGAACCGAAGGACCGCGCCGCCGCCCAGGGGAGGCAAGAGCCUAGCUGCGCCGCAAGCCCGCCUGGCCCCGCCUCCUAGCCAUUCUUAGCUGGGGGAGGCCAGUAAGGAUCAGCCGCUUUCUUUCUUUGCAUUCUUUCUUUUUCAAACCCGCUUUGUGGGUGGCAGCUCAGCAGGGGACGAAUGG